AAAACUGAAUUUGUGCAAGAUGUAAGGGAAGGCAGUUAUAAAUCUGCCGCUGCCCCGCAACUGUAACGGGGACGAAACCUGUAUGCAUGCCACUGUCCGUUUGUGGCGGAUGGGAAGGCACAGGGAGUAGGAUGAACCGGUAGCCAGGAGACCUAUCUUGCACGUUAACGUCAU
rnacentral:ncRNA from 2 species